UACGAAGGGGGCUAGCGUUGCUCGGAAUCACUGGGCGUAAAGCGCACGUAGGCGGAUCGUUAAGUCGGAGGUGAAAUCCUGGAGCUCAACUCCAGAACUGCCUUCGAUACUGGCGAUCUUGGAGUCCGGGAGAGGUGAGUGGAACUCCGAGUGUAGAGGUGAAAUUCGUAGAUAUUCGGAAGAACACCAGUGGCGAAGGCGGCUCACUGGCCCCG
rnacentral:rRNA from 1 species